ACAGAAGAAUCUGCCAAAUGGAUCCAAACGCUUCAGGUUAUGUGAGUCCCAGAACAACAUAAGAUACUGACAGAGUUGUGAAAAACUGAAGCAGUUCUGUGGGAAACUUGAAACCUGUCCCUGUUCACUUUGCCAACUGACUCCUCAUGCUCAAACAAACUGCAGACAUUCAGAAGCAAAAUUUGUUCAAAACAUUCUCUCGGUUCCUGAAGGUGGGGUAAAGUCAAUCCAAAAUA